rnacentral:sRNA from 1 species
GAUACAAGAGGCAAAAAGUCAUAAAUCGAUCCUGCUUGCAGGUAAAGAUUUAUGCUUUAUUGCCUCGCAACGCAUAUGAGGAAGUAGUGAUUUUCUUGAAAAAUCAACGGAUUCCGAAUAUGCGUAGAAUUGCGGAAGUUGUGCAACAACGGAGCAAUUCGU